ensembl:lncRNA
AUGGUUAGCGUUAGUUCAGUGACUUAGCAGAACAUGGUUCCACAUUUGCGCCGCAAAACCAGUGGGGCGGUGGUCGUGUUGGGAGGAAAAAGGAAGCUACCGCUUUAAGAUUUCCAUGCAUGUCCUUUACCACCGUCAAUCAAUAUUUGCCUGCUACUACGGUUACAGGCAUUAUGAUUUCUUUAUUCACUUGUCUUGCGUGUGGGUUUGUGCGUGCAUGCGUGUGUGUGUGUGUGUGUGUGUGUCCAUUUGGGCUCGGGAUGUGUGCAGUCAUGUGUCUUUACCAAUAUCGAUGGGCGGGUGACAUGUUUACGUUCUUCGAAAGCCUGACCGCCGGUCCUGCUCGUCAUAUUUGGAGAAGAACAUGCAUUUGCCAAAAGCCCAGAACAACAAGAGCUACUGGGAAGGUCUUAAUUUUUUUUUUUCUGAAAUCCACCAAAACUGAGGGAAAAUGCAAGUGACUGUUUUGAGCAGCUUUGUGGCCUGCAAUGCUGUGUGGGCUUCAUGGGGAGCCAGACUUCCUGCAGCUACGCGUUCAUUCAUCACCUGCUUUCAAUGGCCGCCGUGCUCCCUCUAGGCUAGCGGGCCAGGUAGGGUGCUGUGCUAGCACAAUGUAGGGGGAUUAGCAUCAAAGCGGUGCAGGCUAGGCCCUGUGUUCCGGACCACCAUUCAGCCCUAGCAGGGGUGCCAGAGCCCAGGGAGCGUCCAAGGUCAUCGUCUCCUGCGUGGAGGGACAUGGAGGGGGAAUGGGCAAAGGAACCCUGGGAACCAGCCGUCUGAAGAGGACCAGUAAGGCUAGCUGCACAGCAGGUGUCUCGCCCGCUAAAUGUACAUCUGUUUGUGCAGCGGAUAGCGUGGCGGAUAGCGUGGCCGACAACGGAAGGCUUUCUUCUCUUCUCUUCUUUCUUCUUUUUUCGUUUUUUUUUCUUCUCGCUUUUCUGCUUGUUUUGCUACUUGGCUUGGUUCAAUCAGGAUUUCUUUAUCAUCUUUUCUUUUCGGUGGUUUUCAUUCAAAGCGCCAUCUAUUACGCUUCGAUAUCAGAAUGAUGCAUUGUGACCGAAAAUGCUUUGCACUUGAGCGGAAAUCUUGUUCCAAGUUAUUAAAGACAUGGGGGUAGGGGGGUUGGGGGAUCCGACCAUGGGCACAGCAAUUUGUGUUUGGGGGGGUGUGAGGGUAAAGGAGCAAUUGGGAGGAACUUUUUCCAGUUUCUAUUAUAAAGAAAUACAGCAACCAUAUUAGUUUCAUGGAUAUUAUACGACCAAUUGGAACACUUUGCAUUAAAAGAAAGAUCAACAAUGUCCUCUGAGAGAACUGAAUUUUAAGUAAAAGAGUUUUGGAUUCCUUCUUUGCUUUCACCAUGUGAUUGAACCGUAUAAUGAUAACUAUAGACAUAAUUUUAAGCCGAUUGGGUGUCCUGGGGAGCGAGGCAUUGGACUAAACAACUCAUGAUGGGACAUCUGUUGGUUUCAGCACCAGACAUAGCAGCGAAGUGGCCUAGUAAGUCUUGUAUAUCGCAGACCAGAGAGAUUAGGAUGGGAAAAGGAAACAACCUAUAAAGCAAUGAUAACGUGUAGAAUAUAAACUAGUAUUGAUGUCUUCCAUUUUGUGUCAAGAAGGCAACCAUGUUUAUUUUUUCUUUUCGCCCGCCCCUUCCACCAUCGUUGGGAUAUUGGCAAGUUGUCAUGGCGACAGGGAUGUUCUGCUGAUGAAGUCUCGCUCGUCGUUGCCCAAUCAGAUCGUAGAGUCUACAACUGCAGUGUACGAAACAGGAGAGGACGCACCUAUUCCAGUUGCACAAUGGCGAGAAGGACAGCCCGAUUCUGGACCACCUACGGACGAAAUGGACGAUUUUGGGGGAGGCAGUCAAAGGGGCCGCCGUGGUUCCCUAAAACCGCUCAGCCGGGGUCGAGGAAGAGGGGUUGCCAGGGUAUGGCACCAAGAGCAGCUCUUCGGUUGAACAACGGGAUGGAGCAGCCAGAAUAUCCAGUCGGCGGGAACAGGUGCCGUCAGGAAACCUGGCUAGCGUCUAGAGAACAUGGGGACGUCUGGACAGUUCAAAGACAUGGACCAUCCUUUGUCCGGACAUCGACGACCACCUUGAAAUUAUAGACAUCGAUGUGUUGCUCAAACUCCACAGUCCUCCGGAGUUGAACAGCCCCUCACAGCUGUGUAGGAGGUCAUUACUCCCGACGUCUGCACUGUGAACCAGGUCUGAGCCUCUGAGGAUUUGGCAGGGGGAGUCAGGGGAAGGCGGUCACGUUUGACUGGGUUUAGUUUGGCAGCUAUGGAGGGACUGUGGCUUGGACUAGUGUGUCACUACUGCCCUAACUCCUGUCACUCUUCAUAUCUGCACACCAUGAGAAAUGUUGAGGUCUGUUUGUUCACCAAUCUCACUUCCUCAUAAAUGUACUGCUGUUAUGACAUGUUUAUUAGGGGGUUAUGAAGGGGUUUGUAAGCUGUUGAUGACAUUCAUAAAAACAUUGCAGAUACAGGAGCUAUCAAUCGUUGUAAUUAUAGUCAUUAAUGCAGUUACCUACACCUAUCAAUACAUGUAGUAAUAUAAUACAAUUGCUAAAGCAUUCAUAGACCCUAUAUGAACAGUUAAUAACAGACAAGGUCAACUGGCAGACAAGUUUUUAUAAUGAAGAAGGGUUUGGGAUGGGAAAUGAUGUUAUUGGUUGCCCCAAUGGUCAAGAUAUAGCUUAUAUUUGAAAUGGGGCAGCAUGCUUCAAGAUAAUAUUUCAAUAGGGUUAGUGCUUGCCCCUACCAAAAACCCCUAAACCUAACAUCUACCUUUUUAAUUUUCAACUUCAGUGGGGUGACUUCAGAGUUGGGACGUAAGCUCAUUCUGCCUUCAAGGCAUUGUCCGCUGCAGAACAAGAUUCAUGACUGGGGGGGGAAAUGAAAAGGAAAUGGAUUAAGCUGUUAGGUAUCAGGACUCAGGGUCUUGAUUGGUUCCCAUCAAAGCCAAUGUCCUUUCAAUGGAACCCAUGUGUCAGUGUCGCCAAGUCCCUAUUGAACAUCUGUGCUUUAUUAUAGUGGUCUGGGAAUGCCGUCGAGACCCAGACAUCAUUCAGGUCCAUAUGUAUACCGUAUGUACUGACCCAGCCCCUCCCUCGGGCCUUUCGGAUACUGUCAUGCAAUGGACCAGAAUCCCAACAAAUGCAAUCUCCAUGCUGACGCUCCCCAGCAUUGCUACAUUGUCAGCAAACACGGCGCUCACCCCGAUCUAUUGUGUGGAAUGACCAAAUGUUUUCUUACUUGGUGUCAAGCCUAGCCGGCAUGCGACCAGGACAUGCACGGGAAGUCACCCCGUCGGUGCUGCCGUGUUAUAACCACCAGCGCUCCUAAGAGCUGAAUCCACACUGCGGGUCAAAUGCACCGGGGUUAGGCCCUCACAAUCCCAGUUUCUCAAAAUAGGUGCACAACUUAUCCCGGUAUUACCCCAAGGAGUGUGUCUCAAAUUACACCAUAUUCCCUAUGUAGGCCACUACUUUUGCCCUGUGCUCUGGUCAGAAAUAGUGCACCAGGGAAUAGGGUGCCAUUUGAGACUCUGUUUCCUGGUGGUUGGUGUUGCUGCUCCACAAUGUGUGGCUGGCUGGGGACCGGACUUCUCCUAAGCUGAUCCAUACUCCUUAUUCCUUGAAUGCAGACGGGAACGCCAGCUCUCAUCUGGCGUCAGCACUUCUUAAACUGUGCUGCCGGAGCUUCAGCACUUUCCUCAAAUCCUUGGCAAAGAGGAGAGAAAAUCCGGUUAAAUCCACGCAACUCCGGAAUGUAUUUUCAUUAAAAUGCGUUUGUUUGGAAGGAUCGUGUGGUUGGGGGAGAGCGAAUAUAAGAAGAUUCCAGAUUGGCCGACUGAUAGCUACGCACUGUAGUCCGAGUAGCGUUAGAUGGAGGAGGGUGAGCAAGGGGAGGAAUUCUCUGACCGAGAUACCCAAGAGGGAGACAUUUAUUGGGCUGUCUGGAUUCAACAAGGUGUUAUCAUCCAGGGCUUUAUCACCUUGAGAAAAGCUCCCUGUUUCAAAUCCGCAUUUCUGUCACUGAGCAUAUUUUGUGUGCGUGCGUGCGUGUGUGUGUGAACUCCUGUGCCUCCAGAUAAAGCCACCAUCCCUUUAGAUCUCCCAUCGCUAAGUCUCCACACGUCUCCAUAUUUAUUCAUGUGCCGUUUGUCUCUCGUUCCUCAAGAGGUAAUUACAAUCCAAGGAGAGGCAGGACUUCCUUGAAGAAGCCUGGCUUAUCGCGUGCUGCUGCCCCCAUCCUAGGAUGUGUCUGGCCAGGCAGUGUGGAGGACGUGCAGCCCCCCCCCAACCACCCCCCCCCCUUCUCCCUCUCCCUGUCCACCGUUUAUCCCUUUGGUUGUUUUUUUUCUCUUUACUGUCUAUCUUCUGUCUCCUGUCCGUCUGCUGUCUGAAUGUAUCUCUGUCCGUCUGCUGUCUGAAUGUAUCUCUGUCCGUCUGCUGUCUGAAUGUAUCUCUGUCCGUCUGCUGUCUGAAUGUAUCUCUGUCCGUCUGCUGUCUGAAUGUAUCUCUGUCCGUCUGCUAUCUGAAUGUAUCUCUGUCCGUCUGCUGUCUGAAUGUAUCUCUGUCCGUCUGCUGUCUGAAUGUAUCUCUGUCCGUCUGCUGUCUGAAUGUAUCUCUGUCCGUCUGCUAUCUGAAUGUAUCUCUGUUUGUCUGCUGUCUGAAUGUAUCUCUGUCCGUCUGCUGUCUGAAUGUAUCUCUGUCCGUCUGCUGUCUGAAUGUAUCUCUGUCCGUCUGCUAUCUGAAUGUGUCUCUGUCCGUCUGCUGUCUGAAUGUAUCUCUGUCCGUCUGCUGUCUGAAUGUAUCUCUGUCCGUCUGCUGUCUGAAUGUAUCUCUGUCCGUCAGCUGUCUGAAUGUAUCUCUGUCCGUCUGCUAUCUGAAUGUGUCUCUGUCCGUCUGCUGUCUGAAUGUAUCUCUGUCCGUCUGCUAUCUGAAUGUAUCUCUGUCCGUCUGCUGUCUGAAUGUAUCUCUGUCCGUCUGCUGUCUGAAUGUAUCUCUGUCCGUCUGCUGUCUGAAUGUCCAUCUGCAAUCUGUAUCUCUGUCGGUACGUCUUUCUCCUCUCUAUCUGAAUGUCUAUCUCCUGUCUGUAUGUCUGUCAAAUGUCUAUCUGUAUGUCUGUCUCCUAUUUGUGUAUUUGUCUCAUGUCUGUCUGUAUAUCCAUCUUCUAUCUGUCUGUAUAUUUGUCUCAUAUCUGUCUGUAUACUUGUCUCAUUUCUGUCUGUAUAUUUGUCUCAUAUCUGUCUGUAUACUUGUCUCAUAUCUGUCUGUAUAUUUGUCUCAUAUCUGUAUAUCCGUCUCCUAUCUGUCUGUAUAUUUGUCUCAUAUCUGUCUGUAUAUUUGUCUCAUGUCUGUCUAUAUAUCCGUCUUCUAUCUGUCUGUAUAUUUGUCUCAUGUCUGUCAGUAUAUUUGUCUCAUGUCUGUCUCUAUAUCUGUCUCCUGUCUGUCUGUCUCCUGUCUGAAUAUAUGUCUGUCUUUCUGUAUGUCGGUCCUCUGUCUGUCUUGAUUCUUGACUGUCUCUUGUCUGAAUGUAUGUCUGUCUCCAGUCUAGUCUGUCUGUAUUUCUUUCUCCUGUCUGUGUGUCUGUAUUUCUGUCUUCUGUCUUUAUCUCUAUCUCCUGUCUGUCUGUAUGUUUGUCUCUCUUCCUGUCUGUCUGUUUUUCUCUCUGUCUGCUUGUUUGUGUGUCUCUUUGGUUUGCCUGUCUAUCUUUCUGUCUGUGUGUUUGUCUCUCUCUGUGAAUUGUGUUAAAUAGUUUCCUUUUAAAAGGCUUUAUUGGCAUGGGAAAAUGUGUUUACAUUGCCAAAGCAUGUGGAAAAUAAGUUGGAAGAGGAAAAUCUCUUUCUCACCAAUGUUUUUUUACACCAGUCAUCCAGCUGAAACAAUGUAGCACCCAACGACUAAUAAUUCAGGUCAGGCAGUUCCACCUCGUCCUGCGUCCCAAACGGACAUGUGGGACAGUCCGACCUCCAUGGAUAUUUGAUCCAGUUUAUUGGGGACACCGUGAAAGGAAGACAGGAAAUUCGAGAGACAAACUGCCAGACCACCCCAGGGUACAAUAGAGUUGUCAUUUUGACCAGGGCCCCAGUGUGUUAUGGAGAAGUUAUAGGAAGCCCAGGGUCGUGAUUUGGUCUUGGGCAUGCCUCGAUGAGCACCUGCCACAAACAUUGUCAGGGACACUGAGGCGAAAGGGUUGUGCUUUGACAAGGCCACCAUUCAGCACCCAAACCACUCCUUGUCUUCCCUCGGACACAGGUCUCUGGAAACCUGCCAGGUUGAAUGCAUUCUGAGACCACCCUUGGAUGAUAAAGGAAAAGAUAAAAAGCCUUCUUGCACUCUCAAUCAACGGGAACGAGCCCCCACCCCCAGCCCCCGGCCGCAGACCCCGCCCACCGCAAAACACACCCGCCCCCACACGCUCCCUUCGAUCAUCGCUCCCUGGUGGCAACCGGGUGUUCCGUUAAAACCGAUUCCACCAGCCGGUUUAUGGUCACGGCAGGGCCAUAGGCAGUCAGCCGAUAUCGUGAUGGCUGAUACUGAACUCCGGUGCUGAAUGCCUGUUCGCCUACACCCCUUAGUUCUCAUCACCGAUCUCCGCUGCCUCUACGCAGAGAGAGAGAGAGACUCAGGGAAAGGGGGAAAGGGUUGUUUAAAAUAGAGAGACGCUAUAACUGCUGAGACCCAGAGAGAGAACGUGAGGGGAAGAGAAGGAGAGAGGGAUGGGGGGGGGCCAGAAAAGAGGGGGGAUUUGUUGGGGUUGCUUGUUUUAUUGUUAUUGAUAUUUUAUAGACAGAUUGGGACCUUCUGCGCUUGGCUGAUAGCACUGGAACGUGAACAUACAACACACGCGGACACACACGUACUGUACACACACACACACACACACACACACACACACACACACACACACACACUGGGCUGUGCAUGAAAAUUACCAUGGUAACUGAAUUCACAGAACAGAACACAAUUGGGCCUGGGUAUUUUUAAGUUUCAAAGGGAUGGAAAGAACAACAGGGAAGACAAAGGAGAGGGAGAGGAGAGAGCGAAGCAGAAAGACUCGGUGCCAGAGAGACAGACUGACAAUGACAGAGAGAGACCAAAAGGGAGAGAGGGAGAGCAACUGAAGUCUUUCCCGAAACGGCUGAUUAGAGGGCAAAGGGAAAGACAGAAGAAAGUGGUAUGUUUGUAUACAGGAUAAUAGUCAACAUCUACACCAGGGUCUCCAAAUAGACAGGGAUUGUAUUUGGGCCACGACCUCAGCCCCUCAAAACAAUCCCGGUCCCUAAAAGUAUAUGAACGGAGGAAAUCUGUUGGUGGAAGUAAUCCAACGCAAAAACAGAUGAUCGCAUGAGCGUACCUCGAUAUAAUCCAGGUUUGGAAUGAUUAGUUUUUUUGUCAACGACAUCAUUUGUUUGGGAGUCUUGUGGUCAAUUUGCAGCGUACAAAUGAUUCAUCGCUAUUUUCUGGUCGCUUGACUGUCCAGUGAAGGAACAACUGGCCCACGGCUGAAUGUAAUUGUGGAACCAUGAGCUACUCCAGAACGUAGCAUAAAAGAAUACGACCUUGGUUAGAAUAAAACCGCUUUGGAAAUCCAAAAUACGGGUAUUUUCCUUCCUCUCAAUCUCUCAUUAUCUCUGUUUCUUUGUCUCUCUUUCUAUAUUUCAUU